rnacentral:rRNA from 1 species
UGGGGAAUAUUGGACAAUGGGCGCAAGCCUGACCCAGCCAUGCCGCGUGAGUGAUGAAGGCCCUAGGGUUGUAAAGCUCUUUCACCGGUGAAGAUAAUGACGGUAACCGGAGAAGAAGCCCCGGCUAACUUCGUGCCAGCAGCCGCGGUAAUACGAAGGGGGCUAGCGUUGUUCGGAUUUACUGGGCGUAAAGCGCACGUAGGCGGACUUUUAAGUCAGGGGUGAAAUCCCGGGGCUCAACCCCGGAACUGCCUUUGAUACUGGAAGUCUUGAGUAUGGUAGAGGUGGGUGGAAUUCCGAGUGUAGAGGUGAAAUUCGUAGAUAUUCGGAGGAACACCAGUGGCGAAGGCGGCUCACUGGACCAUUACUGACGCUGAGGUGCGAAAGCGUGGGGAGCAAACAGG